GUAGGUGAACCUGCGGAGGGAUCAUUACAAGAACGCCCGGGCUUCGGCCUGGUUAUUCAUAACCCUUUGUUGUCCGACUCUGUUGCCUCCGGGGCGACCCUGCCUUCGGGCGGGGGCUCCGGGUGGACACUUCAAACUCUUGUUUUACCAUUGGCAUCUUCUGAGUAAUUUUAUAAAUAAAUCAAAACUUUCAACAACGGAUCUCUUGGUUCUG
rnacentral:misc_RNA from 1 species